CCCUACUUCGCCUCGAUUU
rnacentral:rRNA from 1 species